GAUGAACGCUAGCGGCAGGCUUAACACAUGCAAGUCGAGGGGUAUUGGUUUUCGGACCAAGAGACCGGCGCACGGGUGCGUAACGCGUAUGCAAUCUACCUUUUGCAGAGGGAUAGCCCAGAGAAAUUUGGAUUAAUACCUCAUAGUAUAGUACUUUGGCAUCAAGGAACUAUUAAAGUCACAACGGCAAAAAGAUGAGCAUGCGUCCCAUUAGCUAGUUGGUAAGGUAAACGGCUUACCAAGGCUACGAUGGGUAGGGGUCCUGAGAGGGAGAUCCCCCACACUGGUACUGAGACACGGACCAGACUCCUAACGGGAGGCAGCAGUGAGGAAUAUUGGACAAAUGGGCGCAAAGCCUGAUCCAGCCAUGCCGCGUGCAGGAUGACGGUCCUAUGGAUUGUAAAACUGGCUUUUUUGUAACAGGAAGAAACCCUUUUCACGUGUGGAAGAUUGACGUACUGUAAGAAUA
rnacentral:rRNA from 1 species